rnacentral:rRNA from 1 species
AUUGAACGCUGGCGGCAGGCCUAACACAUGCAAGUCGAGCGGCAGCGGGAAAGUAGCUUGCUACUUUUGCCGGCGAGCGGCGGACGGGUGAGUAAUGCCUGGGAAAUUGCCCAGUCGAGGGGGAUAACAGUUGGAAACGACUGCUAAUACCGCAUACGCCCUACGGGGGAAAGCAGGGGACCUUCGGGCCUUGCGCGAUUGGAUAUGCCCAGGUGGGAUUAGCUAGUUGGUGAGGUAAUGGCCCACCAAGGCGACGAUCCCUAGCUGGUCUGAGAUGAUGAUCAGCCACAAUGUAAAUGAAAAACGGUCCAGACUCCUACGGGAGGCAGCAGUGGGGAAUAUUGCACAAUGGGGGAAACACUGAUGCAGCCAUGCCGCGUGUGUGAAGAAGGCAUUCGGGUUGUAAAGCACUUUCAGCGAGGAGGAAAGGUUGAUGCCUAAUACGUAUCAACUGUGACGUUACUCGCAGAAGAAGCACCGGCUAACUCCGUGCCAGCCGCCGCGGUAAUAC